rnacentral:lncRNA from 1 species
GUCUAUAAAAUGGAAGCAAGAGCGACCACACGACCAGGAUGAAAACAUGAUCAAUCAAGCAGUUGAUCGAGCUAGCAUCAGAGUAUCCACAAGUUAAAUUGCUACAUGCAUCUAUAUUUGUUUCAAGAGGCCAGAAUCAUAUGUGUACUAAACCGACCGAGAACACGGUGAGAAUGCGAGGUAAGUGUUUGAGAAUGGGAGGUAUUCAGGAAACAAGAUACAAGUUCUUGACAGCUGGUUGAUGGACGAAACUGAGGGUGUGCAAGAGCACCUGACCGGUCUUAAAACAUUUUUAGAGAGCUCCAUAGCGAGAAGAGUCCUCACUGUUUACAUUUACAUUUGUCUUGUAGAUGUUGUAUUUGGUGAACAAGUCUACUGAUGGGUACGAGAAAAGCACGAUAAUAUUGUUGUUUGCCUACUACUUGGUGCUAGAUCUUGUUUUUUCUUUUUGGCAUGGAGCAAAUUAGGUGAUUAGU